rnacentral:misc_RNA from 1 species
ACUGUUCACCGAGGGACCAGCCCAAGAAGAUGCAAAAUGCAGAAAAGCCGCAAAAGAACGCAACAGUUCCAACUUAAAUCAGGCGAAUCUGAAACAAAAUCAGCCAAAAUCAGCAUUUCCACAAAACAAGAGCCAUACCCAACUCACCUUCGACCCACUCCCGAAGAAUGCCUAGCUAUCCGAGACUCUCUUUUGGCUUGUCACGGCUUUCCUCAAGAGUUCGCCAAGUAUCGAGAGCAGAGACGGAAUUUAUCCUCCUCUGGAAUCGACAGUGAUGCCCACAAUGGCGUGAAAUCAGAGCCUGGGGAGGAAAGCGUUUUGGAUGGUUUGGUAAAAACCCUGCUUUCCCAGAAUACUACCGAGGUUAAUUCUCAAAGGGCUUUUGCUAAUCUGAAAUCUGCUUUUCCUACAUGGGAAGAUGUACUUGCUGCUGAAUCGAAAUGCAUAGAGAAUGCCAUAAGAUGUGGAGGUUUAGCUCCAACAAAAGCUUCUUGCAUUAAGAACAUAUUGAGUUCCUUGCUUGAGAAAAAUGGCAAACUAUGCUUGGAGUACCUUCGAGAUUUGUCAGUUGAAGAAAUUAAAGCUGAGCUGUCUCAUUUCAAGGGAAUUGGGCCCAAAACGGUGUCUUGUGUUUUGCUGUUCCAACUUCAACUAGACGAUUUCCCUGUGGACACACAUGUGUUUGAAAUUGCAAAGGCCAUUGGCUGGGUACCUGGAGUGGCAGACAGGAAUAAGGCAUACCUUCAUCUCAACCAACGGAUUCCCAAUGAGCUUAAAUUUGAUCUGAAUUGUCUUCUAUUCACACAUGGUAAGCUUUGCCGUAAAUGCACCAAGAAAGGAGGCAACCAGCAAAGAAAGGAAUCCCGUGAUAACUCCUGUCCGCUACUAAACUAUAGCAUAAACUUUAGCGUUAAGACAACUGGGGAAAUAAAUUAAUGAUAUUCUAUUUAUCAGCCUUAAGUGGCCCUGGUCUUAGUUCAGUUUUUGGCUCAAAAGUUUCUGUUAACUGGUCAUCCGUAAGAUUUGGAUCAGCGGACCAAAUUGGGGGUUUGCUUGCAAAAAAGAGAUCAGAUUGAGGACUACUUAAACGUACAAUUUUAGGUGGAGGUGGAGGUGGAGGUGAUUUAUAGGAACAAUGCAGAAUCCUGCCGUUUAUUUUCAUAGGUUAUAUACUUAUAUGUACAUUUGAUUCGUGCGGUUCAAUAUUUAUGUUUAUAUUUUUUUUCCCGAAAGAAAGAAAGCAAUCUGGGGUGAAUUUUUAAGAGAGGAAAAAAAAAAUAGGGGGAGCAAUCAGUAAUUAAAAGCAUUUAUUGGUAGAAGUAGUUAUGGGAUAACAACAUAAUCCCAUAGAUUCAACUUUCAUCGUUUCCCAAAGGCUUUAAAGUGUGUUGUGCAACUAUCAAGCACAAUAACUUUUGUUAAUACAUAAAAUAAUGGUAGUUGAAGACUUGAAAUAGCUGUAAUUAUAUGCAUAUGGGUAAUAAAAUAUGGUUUUUGUGUUGUGUGGAGAUAUGCCCAGAUCUUUUUUAAGAAAAAUACUCUAGUGUGCAGUUCCACUAGCAUGAGACUCUGUAAGAAUUGUUGUAGAAGGGCUUAAUGAAGUACCAGCUGUUAAGAUAAUGUGAAAUUAAGGAGAAAAAAUUAUUGUCUGCUGGUCUGUGUCUAGUGGAAAUUAGUUUGGAAGUUAGUGCUGCAUAGCUAACAAUACCUCCACAACUUUUUGACUUUUUGAGUUAAUUUUUUAUUUUUUUAAUCGUUGUUAUCCUUUGAAUUAAUGUUUAUGUUCUUCAAAAUGCUCAAGUGGUACCACAGCUGUAUGUCAAGGUGCUAAACUCCUUAUAGACUGUUUCUUUGUUACUAUUAUUUUGGUGCACCUAUUCUGGAUUGUUAAAAAAAGAUCUUGCAUCUCUUUAAUGGGUAAGGUUGAUCAGUGUCAGCUGUGGUAUAUGCCAAAUAUCUUUAUCUGAGAAGCAUGAUGGCUCGUUCAUCUUUUCUUCAAAAAAAAUAAUAAUAAUCCUUUUGAGGACUCCUUUGGCUACUUCAAGUUUGUUCAGGUUUGAAAGUUGUCCUGUUCUGCUCUAAUAUACAUCAUUCGACCCAAUUCAGAAUGCUAUAAAUAAAAAUAGACUGAAAUUUAUAGGAAUAUGAGAUAUUCUGAGAAUUCAUUUUGGGGGAACUUAGGGAGAUAUUUCUUGUAAAUCCACUUUCUUGCUUUUCGGCCUCCUUUUGCUUUUAAGGCCAUUAGGCCGUUUACGCUAUUGUGUCUGAGAAUUCACAUGGAGGUGAAACUAACGAGAUUAUUUGGUUUUGAGGUGAUUUCUGACACCGUGGGUGAGAAAAGGCUCAAGGGUUUUGAAGAUGGGGAUCGCAGUGUAGAGUCAUUUGGUGAAGAAAACGGAAUUGGAAAGUCCUUGGAUAAAGCUUCAUAUGAAAUGGACAAAACUGCAAAAGAGAAAAUUUCAAGGCAUGAACUGGAGCAUAAGAAGUAUGAAUGUCAGUUUUGCCCGAAGGAAUUUAGGAACCCACAAGCAUUUGGGGGCCACCAGAAUGCCCGCAAGAAGGAGAGGCUAAAAAGGAGAAGAAUGCAGGUUCAAGAAAAGAGCAAUUCCUGUAACUUUUACCUUGAUCCUUCCCAAGCUCAAAACAAUCCUGUUUACCGUAAUUCUCUUCCAUGGUUUGAUGCUUCCUCUUCUUAUGUGCCGGACUUCAUGCUUAAUGGGGAGUCUUUUAUUAGCUUCAACCUCUCACAUCAGAGUCAAAGCCUUUGCUAUCAUACAUCCUAUGUGUCCAAUCUAUUGCAUGUCCUUCAAAUCUGCAAACAGGACACCUCUAACAGAUCAUUGUUGUCUGGCCUUCUCCUUCAUAUAUUUCCAAGGACUGCCAUUAGGGCUCCCAAAAACACUGAUACCUGAUCAGUAUCUUCUCUAGAAAUGAGUAUAAUUGAGUCAGAAGAAUGUAAAUGAGACUUUUUUUUCCCGUUGUCAAAUUUGGUACUGCAUCUGAUCAUAUUUAUUUUCAGAAGAGACAGAAUCGAGAUUUAUUCGACUCCUGUGGGAAGUUUUGAGGAAGAAUUUUCUUUUUAUAUGCUUUUUAUUAGUAGGAUAGGAUACUUCUAACUCCUGUUAUGUUGCUUCCCAGUGGUCUGGAACUCUGGAUUCUGGAAAGCAUAUAUUCAUUUGUCGAGAGUGUUAGUAUGAAGUCCUUGAUUUUUUUUUUUUGGGAGAUCGAGCAAGCUUUUUGCCAUCCCCAUUUUAUCAGUUUACUUAUCCUCACUUUAAUUUACUUCUCACUGGGAGACGUUAGUCGUUGGACCAUGCUUUUGUUGAAUGUCCGGUGGUACUGGUUAGGGAUUGUUGGCUAGGAUAGAUUCCGUCAAUUCUAAAUGAGUCUGCCAAUGUUGAGUCUAAUUUGCAUCGGGUCCUUGCUUGCAUGGUUCUGUGGUCAGUUUGGAAACACAGAAAUGAUGUAUUAUGGAAUAGUUAUCAGGUGUCAGUUCCCCAAGUGUUGAAUGUUGCUUCAUCAUUCUUGCAUAAUUGGUUAUCUGCCAGGUCUCUCGUGAGGAUGCUAUACUACUUAGUGUUCGGUUGGCAGAAAGCAGAUGGGGGCUAUGAGAGGCCUCCAACUGGUUUUGUCAAGUGCAAUGCGGAUGCUUCCUUAUCGUCUAAUGGGAGCCGGUUGGGUUGUGCGUAAUGAAGAGGGAGCUGUGGUACAUGCAUGUCAGCACAGGUAUGAUGGUUCGAGGAUCCGUAGGUGGCAGAGGCAAUUGCACUAAGUGCAGCUUUACAUUGGGUAGGGGACCGUCUGUUGGUUUUUGAGCUUGACUCACUGCUGCUUGUUUAAGCCUUGAGAGCAAAGGUGAGGGAUGCUUCAUAUUUCGGAGCCCUAUUGGAUGAAUGUAAAGAUUUGUCGAGAAACUUUACACAUUUUUUUAAGCAGACUAUUGCAAAUAUUGUCGCUCAUUUUCUUUUUUCAUUGAUAGAUUUUACAUGCUUGUUUGACAUCGUGAUUGGAG